rnacentral:rRNA from 1 species
UACGGAGGGUCCAAGCGUUAAUCGGAAUUACUGGGCGUAAAGCGUGCGCAGGCGGUUUGUUAAGCGAGAUGUGAAAGCCCCCGGCUCAACCUGGGAAUUGCAUUUCGAACUGGCAAACUAGAGUCUUGUAGAGGGGGGUAGAAUUCCAGGUGUAGCGGUGAAAUAGCGUAGAGAUCUGGAGGAAUACCGGUGGCGAAGGCGGCCCCCUGGACAAAGACUGACGCUCAGGCACGAAAGCGUGGGGAGCAAACAGGAUUAGAUACCCGCGUAGU